AUAUCCAAGUGAUGACAAAUAACUUUCGCCCCUAACAGAAAGUUUUGGAAACUUCUCAUGUUGAAUGCGGAAUUGGUCUUACUGAAAUAUUUAU